GACGAACGCUGGCGGCGUGCUUAACACAUGCAAGUCGAACGAAGCUUGAUUACGGAUUCUUCGGAUGAAGUAUGAUAUGACUGAGUGGCGGACGGGUGAGUAACGCGUGAGUAACCUGCCCUUCAGAGGGGGAUAGCGUUUGGAAACGAACGGUAAUACCGCAUAAUGUAUUUUGACCGCAUGAUCGAAAUACCAAAGAUUUAUCGCUGAAGGAUGGACUCGCGUCUGAUUAGGUAGUUGGUGGGGUAACGGCCUACCAAGCCGACGAUCAGUAGCCGGACUGGGAGGUUGAUCGGCCACAUUGGGACUGAGACACGGCCCAGACUCCUACGGGAGGCAGCAGUGGGGAAUAUUGCACAAUGGGCGCAAGCCUGAUGCAGCAACGCCGCGUGAAGGAAGACGGUUUUCGGAUUGUAAACUUCUGUUCUUAGGGAAGAAUAAUGACGGUAGCUAAGGAGCAAGCCACGGCUAACUACGUG
rnacentral:rRNA from 1 species